UCAGCUCUAGAAUCCAAAGUAGUCAUGUACCUUGCUUCCUGUAUUUGUAAUGCCUGCAGAGACCAGGAAAGGGUGUCCAAUUCCCUGGAACUGAGGUUACAGACAGCAUGUGCUAGGAAUCAAAUCUGUCCCUUUGGAAAAGCAGCCAGUGCUCCUCAUGACUGAGCCAUCUCUCCAGCUCCUGGAAGCAAGUAAUCUUGUAGCCUGGAUGUAGCCACAGGAGACAACUCUUCUUUCUCUAAAUGAAAACAUUCUUUUUUAUUUUUCUCAAGUUGCUCCUUAGUUACAGGCACAGUUAUGGCUGAGAGUAAAUGAACAUUACUAAUUGACAAAACUUUUGCCAUGUAAAGACACAACCUUAUUAAGCAAAUUAAAUCAGUCACAGAAAGAAAA